AUUGAACGCUGGCGGCAUGCCUUACACAUGCAAGUCGAACGGCAGCACGGGUGCUUGCACCUGGUGGCGAGUGGCGAGCGGGUGAGUAAUACAUCGGAACGUACCUUAUCGUGGGGGAUAACGCAGCGAAAGUUGCGCUAAUACCGCAUACGCCCUGAGGGGGAAAGCGGGGGACCGUAAGGCCUCGCGCGAUUAGAGCGGCCGAUGUCUGAUUAGCUUGUUGGUGAGGUAAAAGCUCACCAAGGCGAUGAUCAGUAGCUGGUCUGAGAGGACGAUCGGCCACACUGGGACUGAGACACGGCCCAGACUCCUACGGGAGGCAGCAGUGGGGAAUGUUGGACAAUGGGGGCAACCCUGAUCCAGCAAUGCCGCGUGAGUGAAGAAGGCCUUCGGGUUGUAAAGCUCUUUUGUCAGGGAAGAAACAGCAGCUCUAACACAGUCUGCGAAUGACGGUACCUGAAGAAUAAGCACCGGCUAACUACGUGCCAGCAGCCGCCGUAA
rnacentral:rRNA from 1 species